AAAAAAUUCAAUCAAAAGAAGCAAAAAAAAGAAAAAGAUAAAGAUGAAAAAGAUAAAGAUGAAGUUUGUUGUGAUAGAUCUAUGUUUCUACUUCAAAAUACUUCUGCUUCUUCGAUUCAUU
rnacentral:ribozyme from 13 species